rnacentral:rRNA from 1 species
UCCAACCUGCCGUCUACUCUUGGACAGCCUUCUGAAAGGAAGGAUUAAUACAAGAUGGCAUCAUGAGUCCGCAUGUUCACAUGAUUAAAGGUAUUCCGGUAGACGAUGGGGAUGCGUUCCAUUAGAUAGUAGGCGGGGUAACGGCCCACCUAGUCUUCGAUGGAUAGGGGUUCUGAGAGGAAGGUCCCCCACAUUGGAACUGAGACACGGUCCAAACUCCUACGGGAGGCAGCAUG